CAUACCACAGUACAUCGGCAACCAUGUAGCGCUGAGAGCCAAAAUAUCUCCCCCGACUAGCAACAAAACAAAUGAUGCCCUUAUAAUUAUUCCUGUCGCCAUGAAGCAAUAAUAUAUCAAAAUGCGUUUGUGGAGAUAACUGGACUCUCGGACGGAAAUUACAAGGCGAGGGGAGUCGAUAGUGAAACCGUGGGCUGUUGAACGGAGGCACUGUCUGCCUCCGCCUGGACGUGAGGAAGCGGACGUCGGGCUGCUCCUCUCAUCUGUUAGCCCACCGUGGCGUUUUUUAAAUCAGCCUUUUAAAUGACUGAACUCCACCGGCGGAGUGCAGCCUUCUGUAGCCUCGGGGGAAGGGCGUGUAACGCUCACGGAUACCGGGGUUUGUAGUCUGCACCAGGUCCGGGGCUACCCGCGUUACCGCCCCGUUUUUCUCCCCCCCUCCUCUCUAGUGAGUAACGUUAGCAGCGCCGGCUAGGAGGAGGCUGAAGGUACAGUCGGCGGCGGGGUUUGGACUUUACCCCCCAAAAACCUCCCGCUUACACCAUGGGGAAUACAACCUCGUGCUGCGUGUCCUCCAGCCCCAAACACAGGAGGAACAACCACUCCAGGCUCGAGCCCUACCGGCCGGAGCCCGAGCUGAGCCGCGAGGACACGGGCUGCAACCUCCAGCACAUCAGCGACAGAGAGAACCUGGACGAUCUGCCCAUGGAGUACAAUCCCUCAGACCACCCCCGGGCCAGCACCAUCUUCCUCAGCAAGUCACAGACUGACGUUGCCGUGACCAACAAGAGAGUUCGAGAAAAACGGAAGAGCCUUUACAUCAACCAUCAUCAUCCAGGCCCAGUGAGACGGAAGUACAGCUCAUGCUCAACCAUAUUCCUUGACGACAGCACCGUCAGUCAGCCCAACCUCAAAUACACAAUCAAAUGCGUAGCCCUUGCAAUAUACUACCACAUAAAGAACAGGGAAGUCGACGGAAGAAUGUUGGUCGACAUUUUCGACGAGAGACUGCACCCGCUCACGAAAUCUGAGAUUCCUCCUGAUUAUAACAACCACGACCCCGAGCAGAAGCAGAUCUACCGCUUCGUCAGGACGCUGUUCAGCGCCGCGCAGCUCACCGCCGAGUGUGCCAUUGUCACCUUGGUGUAUUUGGAGAGGCUCCUGACCUACGCUGAGAUCGACAUUUGCCCUGCCAACUGGAAGCGUAUCGUGCUAGGAGCCAUCCUUCUGGCAUCCAAGGUGUGGGAUGACCAGGCGGUCUGGAACGUCGACUACUGCCAAAUUCUCAAGGAUAUCACAGUGGAGGACAUGAAUGAGCUGGAGCGUCAGUUUCUGGAGCUGCUGCAGUUCAACAUCAACGUGCCGUCCAGCGUCUACGCCAAGUAUUACUUUGACCUGCGCUCUCUGGCCGAGGCCAACAACCUCAGCUUCCCCCUGGAACCCCUCAGCAGGGAGAAGGCCCAGAAACUUGAAGCCAUCUCGCGGUUGUGUGAUGACAUAUACAAGGACUUGAGGAAAAAAGCGAAGAAGCGGUCAGUGAGUGCAGACAACCUGACGGUGGUGCGGUGGUGUCCAGCCAUCCUCUCCUAACACCGGCCGCCCGCAGCACGGAGACAGACCUAGCAGACAUACUGUACUGAGUUCCUGCCUGGGUUGUUUCGUGAUGUUGCGGAGAGGACCCAAAUGUGAGGAAAAAGCAUUGAGUGACGAUUCAAACACACUGCUUACAAAAAAGAUAGAUUGUAUACGUUUUGCCAAGUUGUCUCUGUACAGUGUAAAUACAGCGCCGGUGUGCAAAAUCUGUAGACUGAGAUCGUACUGUAAAAAGAAAAAGAGAAACAGAAUGAUGUUAGAAUACUUCUAUUGGAUCAGUUUAUACUGUACACGAGGGGGUUGGUGAAUAUGUUGGAUGUUCCUAUGACAAAUCAAGUAAAGAUAAAGUAUUAAGAUUUAAACGGGAGACGCCACUUAAGAUUUUUUUGUCAGUUUUCUUGUUACAAUGUUUUUUUUCCCCUCAGCAGAAAAAUGCCAAGUUUUGAUGUGUUACAUGCUGUAUAUGGUAACUUAAUAAUACGAGAGGAUUCAGGCUUAUUUUAUUACUUGUUAUUUUCCUCACCUCACUCUGUGGAGGUAUUGCCAGAUCCAUGUGUUCUUUAGUGAUGAUGCUUGUUUCCUAUGGAGCCCCGUAAAUGACAAAUGUAGUAAUCAGGCCAAUCAAAAACACAGUUUAACUGAAUACAUUAAUAAAUAUAAUGAAAUCUAUUUAAUGGAGUGUAAAAAGGGUUAUAAAGUUUUAUAGGUUUCCUUCAAGCUCCAUCAGUUGGUAAAAAAGCAAAAAGCUUUCCAUUUUUUUCCCUCAAUCAGUCAAACUUUAUCUUUCUGCACUGUAGCUCAUUUAAUUUUGUUCUCUUGGCACACAUUAAAUAAUUUAUCUAUUCCCGGUUUCUCUGAAGCAAUAUUACUUUUCCUCACUAAAUUUUACAUUUUCCAGUUUUACAGAUGUCUCUUUUAGAAUGGUGGUCUAUGGGGGAAAGGCUUUUUGGGUCGCAGGGGAUUUAUUUUUUGUUGCAGUACACUCAAGCCCUGGACCAGUCACUUGCCCUAGACAUGCAUGGAUACACUUAUCUCAUUUUCUGCAAUAUGAAAAUAAAAAUACAGCGCUGUAAAUGGGGAAUGUGUGGGGAAAAUGAAUGAGUAGAUAAAUGAUUACAUGUGUGCCGCCCAUUUGGAAAAAGAAGUUGGUGAAAGAUAAUGAAUAAAGUUUUGGUUUAUUUGAUCACCUUAUUGACGGUUAGAUGAUUUUCUAAAAGGAUUUUUUUUUAAUUGAACUAACAAUAUUAUUUAUUAAUUAAUUUAUGUAUUCAGUUAUAACUUUGCCUUUUCUGAUAACCUUUAUACAGUUUCAGGGGUCCACAGUUUCUUGCAUUUGCUGGAACUUGUUGUUUUUCAUGAAGACAUCACUUCCUGUUUUGCUCUUUUCUUGACAUUCCUUAAACAGAAAUCGGAAAAUGCACAGGGGUGUAGUAGAAGGUAAACCUAUAAAAUCAAUGAGUUGAACUAUUGGCACCUGAAUGGGUUGAUAAAAGUGUGAAGUAAUGCUUUUGUUAUAUAAUAGUUGUUGUUUGCCUUAAGAUCAACUAAACACACAUUUUGCUUCACUUAUUAAUCAAUAGACAAUUCAUUUAAAAAUAUCACCACGUGACAUUUCAAGAUUUUUAACACAUUUUUCUGCAGUCAGUCAGUCAGGUCAGUAAAAAUGUUCAACCCUGAGCAGCAGGUGUGAGAAGGGACAGAACCGCACCAAAGCCGUGGAGAAAUGAAGGACGUGUUGUUGGCCGUGUUGCUCUGACCCAGCCGACACUUUGCACAUGAAGUAUAUAUAUAUACAAUUUUGGGACUUAGGCAGAGAACUGUUGUUUUGCAUGGUGCUUUGGGUGAGUGGAAAAUAAAGUGCAAAAAUUUGUCUUUAGGAAAGUACCGUUACUGGAGUGGCUGUUGUGAAUUCAAACUGUUAGAGGUAUUCAAAGAUUGUAUAUCCUAUUUAUUGUGUGUGUGUGUGUGUGUGUGUGUGUGUGUGUGUGCGUGUGCGUGCGUGCAUACAGCCCGGACAGGUAUUUUAUAGACCCAGAAGGAAGGAAGUGGUAAGGCCAUGUGGUCAUGAGGUGAAUCUUUUACUCCAACAUCAGAGAUCAUGGCGUCUUGUCGGCGGGCUACUAGGUGUGUGUCAUAGCCUUGUGCACUGAACUCUACCUCUGCAUAGAGUUUGACCUUUCCUCUUCAUUUAUAUUCCUCUCUUUGACGACAUUUUUUUGUUUGUUUUUUUCACCCAAAAUCAUGAUGGUUUCCCCUGCAUCAGUCAUCUGCUGUAGCUGUGACUUUUUUUUUUUUUUUCUUCUUCAUUCAUUGAUUCUGAUAUGUUCAACAUGUUGUGCUGUAUUCUAUUGUUAUGGUUGUUAUUGUCAGUGUAUUAUUUUUUUCUUUUCGGUGAGCCAACCAUUCCGUUUCUUUUUUUGCCAAACUCAGAUCACUUUCUGUUCUGUCCUUUUCGCUUACUGUUUUCAACUAUGAUUUAAAGAACUGCUCCCAAUUCUUCUCCUCUGAAGCAAUGUUUAGAAAUACCUGUGCAAGAAUUAAACUUAUAA